AAAACAUUAAACAACGAUUCAUAGAAAUAACUGUAUAUUUACCAUUUGUUGAAGGUUAAGAUGAAAACAGAAAAAUCUCCCCUGUGGAAGUGACAUUUAUGUGACUUGAAGGAGGAAGAGGAGAGAGUCAGCAGCCAUCACCAGACAUCUGGCUUUGGAAGCAGUUUUGCUGAAGAGCACACAACCUGUGCCACUGAAUCCAAACAGCAUUCAUUCUUGGUGGUCGCGAGCAUCCUUGCAUCCAGAGAAAGGAAUCACUUUGCUAUUUUUUAUGGUUUAAUUAUAUUAUUGCAUAAAACAUUUUGGCUGUAUAACUUUCUGGACUUCCCUGUUUUACAACCAAUAAUCCCGCUGAAAUGUGAAAUGUACCUAAAAUUAACAAAGACAGUGUCUCAUCCCACAUCUCUGAUUUCAUUUAGGCUUGAAGAAGUAGUCCAACAUCACACAGAGUACAAAGCACGGGAGCAGAGAGACCUAGGUUUGCUCCCAGCUCUGUGCCACAAAGUCACUCAUUGGUGACCUAAACCAUCUAUAUUCUCUCACCAACCCAGUCUAUUGCUUGUCUGUCUCUGGGAAUAUCAAGAAAAAAAAAAUGGAGAAGAAGGAGUCUUAAUGGAAUGUGUUCCCCUUAAUUAUCAUUAUAUCAGUCUCUUUUCCC